rnacentral:rRNA from 1 species
AUUGAACGCUGGCGGCAGGCCUAACACAUGCAAGUCGAACGAGCGGCGGACGGGUGAGUAAUGUAUGGGCAACUGCCUGAUGGAGGGGGAUAACUGCUGGAAACGGUAGCUAAUACCGCAUACCAUCGGAUGUGCCCAGAUGGGAUUAGCUUGUGGGUGUGGUAACGGCUCACCUAGGCGACGAUCCCUAGCUGGUCUGAGAGGAUGACCGGCCACACGGGGACUGAGACACGGCCCAGACUCCUACGGGAGGCAGCAGUGGGGAAUAUUGCACAAUGGGCGCAAGCCUGAUGCAGCCAUGCCGCGUGUAUGAAGAAGGCCUUCGGGUUGUAAAGUACUGUCAGUAGGGAGGCGUUACCCAAAGAAGAAGCACCGGCUAACUCCGUGCCAGCAGCCGCGGUAAUAC